CCGGAGCGUCCCUGAAGACUUGAAUGGACUCUUGCUAUCGAAUAGCCGCAGCUCCAUGGUAAGAGGCGGUGCAUGUCCCCUCACCUGCACCCGGGCCUCGGACAGUCCCAACCUCUGGCUCAGCUCCUCCCGCAUGAAGGCGUCCGGAUAGUGGGUCUCGUCGAAGAGCCUCUCCAGCUCGUUGAGCUGCUCCAGCGUGAAGGGCGUGGCCUACAAAUCUGUGAAGAUGAUGACAAGAGGAGAGAGGAGAGAGGAGCACAUGGACCAGGAGUCCUUCUUCACUCCGCAUCACCAAAUUCACAGGCAG